rnacentral:rRNA from 1 species
UGGGAACUGCAUUCGAAACUGGCAGGCUUGAGUCUUGUAGAGGGGGGUAGAAUUCCAGGUGUAGCGGUGAAAUGCGUAGAGAUCUGGAGGAAUACCGGUGGCGAAGGCGGCCCCCUGGACAAAGACUGACGCUCAGGUGCGAAAGCGUGGGGAGCAAACAGGAUUAGAUACCCUGGUAGUCCACGCCGUAAACGAUGUCUACUUGGAGGUUGUGCCCUUGAGGCGUGGCUUCCGGAGCUAACGCGUUAAGUAGACCGCCUGGGGAGUACGGCCGCAAGGUUAAAACUCAAAUGAAUUGACGGGGGCCCGCACAAGCGGUGGAGCAUGUGGUUUAAUUCGAUGCAACGCGAAGAACCUUACCUGGUCUUGACAUCCAC